rnacentral:precursor_RNA from 1 species
GACCUCCGUGGAUGGCGUAUGAGGAGCCAUGCAUAUCCUCAUACAUAUAUAAUUAUGUUUUGGUACCAAUUGAAUUGUGUUGAUGAGCUUGUUUUGUAGAAGUCUCUGUUCAUUGCCUCAUCAUGUGUAGAAGAGAUUAGAGAUACGAAAACUUUAAUGUUAUUAAAUUGGAGAAACCCUAGGAAAGGGUGAGCCUGCGGUGCCUGUAAUUAUUCCAAGCAUCCAUCCAACCACGCGUGAGACUGUUGACACAAACACACAUGACAAUGUAUAGCCUCAACUUUUUAUAGUUUUCUAUUCACUAUUUCUUCUUUUCUAAGAAGAAAUUGUUAAUUACUUUUUCUUCAUUUUUAUGAUUCUUUUGUAUAUAAACAUAUUUUAUUUAUGUAAAUAUUAACUAUACGUAAA